UGUGAGUUUAACACUUCAUGACUGAGAGCUGUCCUUCAUGACAACAGAACCCACAACAACCAUGAUUUUUUUCACCAUCUUCAUCUGGAUACUUGCCCUCUGUCUCCAAGAGUCCAGAGGCCAGAUCACAGUGACCCAGACUCCUGCAGUGAAAGCUGUUUCAGUGGGUCACUCAGUCAGUCUCAGCUGUAAGACCAGCAGUGCUGUACACAUCAACAGCAAUGGACACUAUUUGCACUGGUAUCAACAGAAACCCGGAGGAGCUCCUAAACUCCUAAUAUACUGGGCUAAAACCCUUCAGUCUGGGACUCCAUCUAGAUUCAGUGGCAGUGGAUCUGGGAGUGACUUCACUCUGACCAUCAGUGGAGUCCAGGCUGAAGAUGCAGGAGAUUACUACUGUCAGAGUUUACACUACCCCAACAGUGUCUGGGUGUUCACACAGUGAUACAGAGCCGUACGAAAACCUCCCUCAGUCAGACUGCACAGUGACUGUACUGAUACAGCUGGGACCUACUGCAGGUGCUGAUGGGGAAGGGACAGUGACAUGGAACACUGAGCAGCGAGGAAACAUUGAAUAAGGGUAGAAAGCGUAAUUCAAAUCACAUGUUCUCCCACAUCAUCAUCAUGGUUGCGACUCAUUAUAUUUGUUAUGACCUGAAAGAUCAUCUAAAAGUUAUGAGGUUUUGAAAACACAAUACCUGCCAAAUACAAAAUAAGAAGUAAAAGAAAAGGUGUCAUGACCUCAACAUUGCUUCAACGUUACAAUCACUUAAGCCCCCAAAACAAGUCCCCAAAUGUCUGAUUUAAAUGGAUUUGAUUUUACAGGAUUAUUAUUAACUAUUUUCAAUAUGCAGGUUCCUGACUGUUAGAUCUGUGAAUGAGACAUGAUGCUGGGUUCAAACAUGAGACACUAUCUACAUAAAGUAUCAUUUCCAUUUUA